UACGGGGGGAGCAAGCGUUGUUCGGAUUUACUGGGCGUAAAGGGCGCGUAGGCGGUCGUGACAAGUCACUUGUGAAAUCUCCGGGCUUAACUCGGAACGGUCAAGUGAUACUGUCGUGCUAGAGUACAGAAGGGCAACUGGAAUUCUCGGUGUAGCGGUGAAAUGCGUAGAUAUCAGGAGGAACACCGGUGGCGAAGGCGGGUCUCUGGGCCGAUACUGACGCUGAGGAGCGAAAGCGUGGGGAGCGAACAGG
rnacentral:rRNA from 1 species